AUACGUAGGGGGCGAGCGUUGUCCGGAAUGAUUGGGCGUAAAGGGCGCGUAGGCGGCCCGGUACGUCUGGAGUGACAGUCCUGUUUUUAAGAUGGGAAUUGCUUUGGAUACUGCCGGGUUUGUGUGCCGGAGCGGGAAGUGGAAUUCCCAGUGUAGCGGUGAAUUGCGUAUAGAUUGGGAGGAACACCAAGGGCGAAGGCGACUUACUGCACUGUAACUGACGCUGAGGCGCGAAAGUGUGGGGAGCAAACAUGAUUAGAUACCCUGGUAGUCCACACUGUAAACGAUGAAUUCUAGGUGUAGGGGGUAUCGACUCCCUCUGUGCCGCAGUUAACACAAUAAGUAUUCCGCCUGGGGAGUACGGCCGCAAGGUUGAAACUCAAAGGAAGUGACGGGG
rnacentral:rRNA from 1 species